CUUUGGACAAUGGUAGGAGAGCGUUCUAAGGGCGUUGAAGCAUGAUCGUAAGGACAUGUGGAGCGCUUAGAAGUGAGAAUGCCGGUGUGAGUAGCGAAAGACGGGUGAGAAUCCCGUCCACCGAUUGACUAAGGUUUCCAGAGGAAGGCUCGUCCGCUCUGGGUUAGUCGGGUCCUAAGCUGAGGCCGACAGGCGUAGGCGAUGGAUAACAGGUUGAUAUUCCUGUACCACCUAUAAUCGUUUUAAUCGAUGGGGGGACGCAGUAGGAUAGGCGAAGCGUGCGAUUGGAUUGCACGUCUAAGCAGUAAGGCUGAGUAUUAGGCAAAUCCGGUACUCGUUAAGGCUGAGC
rnacentral:rRNA from 1 species